AUCAAAUCAUAUUAUAUAGUAACAAGAUAAUUAUGCCAACUGUGUUUGCUUAUAAACCGAGCUGGAUAUUACAGUUGCAUUCUAAGCAUCAUUCCACGUGUUGGUUUGUCGAGAUUGACCAUCCAUAUAAAAAGUAAUAUCUUUUUCGAGGAUCUUACAAGGAUCAAUUGUUUUCAAACUUUGAUUAACUUGAUCUAUAUGAAGCCAAGGUGAGUAACUAUACACAAAUAUUAGACAAACUAGACAAUCCCUCCCAUUUCAAAUUCAAAUAGAAUUCAAAAUACGAAGAUGCAUUUGGUUGGUGUAAGGGGUUUGUCCUCAUAUUUCAUUAUUCAAUAUGGACUUCACUAGUUUUGUCAAGCACUAUUUGUUUAAUUUCAAAUUAAUAAUAUAUACAUUUGAAUUUGGAGACUUGCUUAUGGUAAUGGGUUAUGGCCCACAACUUAAGAAACUCUCAUGUGAAUGCUUUGACAAAUUUACCCUUAAGUUCUCCACCGAUUCCUUUGAGUCGAGCCUCUCAGUCUGUCAAACAAAAACAACAUAAUGACUGAGUCCAAAAUAUCGAAUUAUUAAUUAAAAAUAAAUAUAUAUUAAUAAUAUUUUUGUUGCCUUCCUCCAAUCCAAUUGUCAAUACCUAAAAGGUUCCAAUUCACCACGAACAAAAAUAGAAAAUCUCUUCUUCCUCUGUGCCUCACCGGGCAUAAGAAGAAAAAGAAGAAGAUCAAAUUGGUUCUUCACAUACAUCUAAAUUGCAUAUCUAACAUGUCAUUUAACGUAUUUCUCUUGUAUAGAAGACACCAUAGG
rnacentral:lncRNA from 1 species